CAGAGCUGCAGUUUGUCUUCCAGCCGCCCUCACACUGACCAACAGUCCAUUCUGUCUCUGGAAGAAGACUGCUGUUCUUAAAUUAUAGAAUCACCUUUCUGAUUAGAAGCUGAAGACGACAGCAGCCAUGUUGAUAUCAGGAGCUGGAUGUGUGUUUAUGGGUUUCAUCCUGUUCAUCUCAGGGGUUCAGGUACGAGCAAACAACAUCUGUGCUUUAAAAGGUUCAUCAGUGGAUCUGCCCUGCUCAGCUCAACAUCCCACUUCAACCAGGAAAUGGUACACUGUACAGCUUGAAAACUACACGUACACUCUGAAUGAGAUCUCUGCAGAUGGAAAUCAUGUAACG